rnacentral:rRNA from 1 species
UACGGAGGGUGCGAGCGUUGUCCGGAAUCAUUGGGCGUAAAGGGCGCGUAGGUGGCCCGGUCAGUCUUUGGUGAAAGCGCGGGGCUCAACCCUGCGUCGGCCAGGGAUACUGCCGCGGCUCGAGCACUGUAGAGGCAGGCGGAAUUCCGGGUGUAGCGGUGGAAUGCGUAGAGAUCCGGAAGAACACCGGUGGCGAAGGCGGCCUGCUGGGCAGUGGCUGACACUGAGGCGCGACAGCGUGGGGAGCAAACAGG